AUUGAACGCUGGCGGCAGGCUUAACACAUGCAAGUCGAGCGGAGACUUCGGUCUUAGCGGCGAACGGGUGAGUAAUACCUAGGAAUCUGCCUAUUAGUGGGGGAUAACGAAUCGAAAGGUUCGCUAAUACCGCAUACGUCCUACGGGAGAAAGGGGGGAUCUUCGGACCUCUCGCUAAUAGAUGAGCCUAGGCCGGAUUAGCUAGUUGGUAGGGUAAAGGCCUACCAAGGCGACGAUCUGUAGCUGGUCUGAGAGGAUGGCCAGCCACACUGGAACUGAGACACGGUCCAGACUCCUACGGGAGGCAGCAGUGGGGAAUAUUGGACAAUGGGGGCAACCCUGAUCCAGCCAUGCCGCGUGUGUGAAGAAGGCC
rnacentral:rRNA from 1 species